AUGUCUUAUUUGUGUCCAAGAUUGGCUUAGACAAGAAACCAAGCCUAUUUGUGUUGAAGAAAGUUUGGAGUUUCUUGAAAAAAUUGAACUUGAGAUGGCAAAUAGUGGAAGAAACUCUUCCAUUGUUGAUCUAUGAUUGACUUGCAAGCGGUCCAAGGGUCAAGACAAUGAAGAAAUAAUUUUGUUGGCACGUGACACUUGAAAGUUGAAAGCAAU